rnacentral:rRNA from 1 species
GGGUUGUGAGGUUAAGCGACUAAGCGUACACGGUGGAUGCCCUGGCAGUCAGAGGCGAUGAAGGGCGUGCUAAUCUGCGAUAAGCGCCGGUAAGGUGAUAUGAACCGUUAUAACCGGCGAUACCCGAAUGGGGAAACCCAGUGUGACUCGUCACACUAUCAUUAACUGAAUCCAUAGGUUAAUGAGGCGAACCGGGGGAACUGAAACAUCUAAGUACCCGAGGAAAAGAAAUCAACCGAGAUUCCCCCAGUAGCGGCGAGCGAACGGGGAGGAGCCCAGAGCCUGAAUCAGCAUGUGUGUUAGUGGAAGCGUCUGGAAAGGCGCGCGAUACAGGGUGACAGCCCCGUACACAAAAGCGCAUGUGCUGUGAGCUCGAUGAGUAGGGCGGGACACGUGGUAUCCUGUCUGAAUAUGGGGGGACCAUCCUCCAAGGCUAAAUACUCCUGACUGACCGAUAGUGAACCAGUACCGUGAGGGAAAGGCGAAAAGAACCCCGGCGAGGGGAGUGAAAAAGAACCUGAAACCGUGUACGUACAAGCAGUGGGAGCACAGGUUUACCUGUGUGACUGCGUACCUUUUGUAUAAUGGGUCAGCGACUUAUAUUCUGUAGCAAGGUUAACCGAAUAGGGGAGCCGGAGGGAAACCGAGUCUUAAUUGGGCGUUAAGUUGCAGGGUAUAGACCCGAAACCCGGUGAUCUAGCCAUGGGCAGGUUGAAGGUUGGGUAACACUAACUGGAGGACCGAACCGACUAAUGUUGAAAAAUUAGCGGAUGACCUGUGGCUGGGGGUGAAAGGCCAAUCAAACCGGGAGAUAGCUGGUUCUCCCCGAAAGCUAUUUAGGUAGCGCCUCGUGAAUUCAUCUCCGGGGGUAGAGCACUGUUUCGGCUAGGGGGCCAUCCCGGCUUACCAACCCGAUGCAAACUGCGAAUACCGGAGAAUGUUAUCACGGGAGACACACGGCGGGUGCUAACGUCCGUCGUGAAGAGGGAAACAACCCAGACCGCCAGCUAAGGUCCCAAAGUCAUGGUUAAGUGGGAAACGAUGUGGGAAGGCCCAGACAGCCAGGAUGUUGGCUUAGAAGCAGCCAUCAUUUAAAGAAAGCGUAAUAGCUCACUGGUCGAGUCGGCCUGCGCGGAAGAUGUAACGGGGCUAAACCAUGCACCGAAGCUGCGGCAGCGACGCUUAUGCGUUGUUGGGUAGGGGAGCGUUCUGUAAGCCUGUGAAGGUGUGUCGUGAGGCAUGCUGGAGGUAUCAGAAGUGCGAAUGCUGACAUAAGUAACGAUAAAGCGGGUGAAAAGCCCGCUCGCCGGAAGACCAAGGGUUCCUGUCCAACGUUAAUCGGGGCAGGGUGAGUCGACCCCUAAGGCGAGGCCGAAAGGCGUAGUCGAUGGGAAACGGGUUAAUAUUCCCGUACUUGGUGUUACUGCGAAGGGGGGACGGAGAAGGCUAUGUUGGCCGGGCGACGGUUGUCCCGGUUUAAGCGUGUAGGUGUGUGUUCCAGGUAAAUCCGGUUCACUUUAACACUGAGGCGUGAUGACGAGGCACUACGGUGCUGAAGCAACAAAUGCCCUGCUUCCAGGAAAAGCCUCUAAGCAUCAGGUAACAUCAAAUCGUACCCCAAACCGACACAGGUGGUCAGGUAGAGAAUACCAAGGCGCUUGAGAGAACUCGGGUGAAGGAACUAGGCAAAAUGGUGCCGUAACUUCGGGAGAAGGCACGCUGACAUGUAGGUGAAGUGAUUUACUCAUGGAGCUGAAGUCAGUCGAAGAUACCAGCUGGCUGCAACUGUUUAUUAAAAACACAGCACUGUGCAAACACGAAAGUGGACGUAUACGGUGUGACGCCUGCCCGGUGCCGGAAGGUUAAUUGAUGGGGUCAGCGCAAGCGAAGCUCCUGAUCGAAGCCCCGGUAAACGGCGGCCGUAACUAUAACGGUCCUAAGGUAGCGAAAUUCCUUGUCGGGUAAGUUCCGACCUGCACGAAUGGCGUAAUGAUGGCCAGGCUGUCUCCACCCGAGACUCAGUGAAAUUGAACUCGCUGUGAAGAUGCAGUGUACCCGCGGCAAGACGGAAAGACCCCGUGAACCUUUACUAUAGCUUGACACUGAACAUUGAGCCUUGAUGUGUAGGAUAGGUGGGAGGCUUUGAAGUGUGGACGCCAGUCUGCAUGGAGCCGACCUUGAAAUACCACCCUUUAAUGUUUGAUGUUCUAACGUGGACCCGUUAUCCGGGUUGCGGACAGUGUCUGGUGGGUAGUUUGACUGGGGCGGUCUCCUCCUAAAGAGUAACGGAGGAGCACGAAGGUUGGCUAAUCCUGGUCGGACAUCAGGAGGUUAGUGCAAUGGCAUAAGCCAGCUUGACUGCGAGCGUGACGGCGCGAGCAGGUGCGAAAGCAGGUCAUAGUGAUCCGGUGGUUCUGAAUGGAAGGGCCAUCGCUCAACGGAUAAAAGGUACUCCGGGGAUAACAGGCUGAUACCGCCCAAGAGUUCAUAUCGACGGCGGUGUUUGGCACCUCGAUGUCGGCUCAUCACAUCCUGGGGCUGAAGUAGGUCCCAAGGGUAUGGCUGUUCGCCAUUUAAAGUGGUACGCGAGCUGGGUUUAGAACGUCGUGAGACAGUUCGGUCCCUAUCUGCCGUGGGCGCUGGAGAACUGAGGGGGGCUGCUCCUAGUACGAGAGGACCGGAGUGGACGCAUCACUGGUGUUCGGGUUGUCAUGCCAAUGGCACUGCCCGGUAGCUAAAUGCGGAAGAGAUAAGUGCUGAAAGCAUCUAAGCACGAAACUUGCCCCGAGAUGAGUUCUCCCUGAGACUUAGAGUCUCCUGAAGGAACGUUGAAGACGACGACGUUGAUAGGCCGGGUGUGUAAGCGCAGCGAUGCGUUGAGCUAACCGGUACUAAUGAACCGUGAGGCUUAACCUUACAACGCCGAAG